AAGUCUUACCAGGCUGUACCCAUCCUUGCUAAGCUGCAGAAGCAUGGGGGAAUCACAAUUCUUACACAUGAAAAGACUCAUAGCCAUCUCCAGAGGACCGUGGAGGAUGGGGGUCAGCUCUCCUCCAGCCGGGAUGACGACCCUGCCCCUAUUUCUGCCUGGGGAAGGGCAAGAUGCACUGAGUAAGGACCCCGUCAUCCUCUCACCGGACCUGCAAUGAACAGAGCCAGGCCCAUCUCACAUACUUUCCAUUAGCAGCUCAAAAGAUUUAG
rnacentral:lncRNA from 1 species